rnacentral:RNase_P_RNA from 1 species
UGCAGGCAAAAGGUGGCUGCCCGCCACAAUUUAUUGGCGGGAGGAAAGUCCGGGCUCCAGAGGACAGCGCACCUCGUAACGCGAGGCCUCCGUGCCUUCUUGCUGCUUAGCGCUCUUUAACAAAUCUUUAAAGACUUUAAUGUAUAGAAGGCGCGGAAAGGGAAAGUGCCACAGAAAAUAUACCGCCUGAGAUUGCCUUGCGGCAGUAUCAGGUAAGGGUGAAAAGGCGGUGUAAGAGACCACCGCAGGCCAUAGUAAUAUGGCUUGGCAAGGAAAACCCUGCGCGGAGCAAUGUCGCAAACAGCUGAAUUUAGAGCGGUCCGUUCUAAGGCCCUAAAGGCCUUUCGGCUGAGGUAGACUGCUAGUAGCAACGGAGCAAUCCGCUGUGCAAGAGAAAUGGCCACUCCUGCCUAAUAGGCGGGACAGAACCCGGCUUAUUUUUGCCUGCAUUUG